AUAUCAUUAAGCGGUGGAAAAGAAACUAACAAGGAUGCCCCUAGUAACGGCGAGUGAAGCGGGCGAAGCUCAAGUUGAAAAUCGGGGCCUCUUUGGGGUUUCGAAUUGUAGUCUAGAGACGCAGCGUCAGCAAUAGCCCCUGGUAUAAAUCUUUUGGAACAAGGUAUCAUAGAGGGUGAGAAUCCCGUCUUUGGCACGGACCCCAGGGCUUCUGUGAUGCGCUCUCAAAGAGUCGAGUUGUUUGGGAAUGCAGCUCAAAAUGGGUGGUGAACUCCAUCUAAAGCUAAAUAUUGGCGAGAGACCGAUAGCGCACAAGUA
rnacentral:rRNA from 1 species